UUUGAACUAAGGAGAGGGGAAUUAAACGGCUGUUCUCUAAAUAUUGUGGGGUUUUUUUCUUUCUUUCUCCACCUUCCCCUUCUUCUCCUCUGUGUCUUUCUUUCCCUUCAUCAAAACUGAGCGGCGCUGGAACUACACCCAGUAGUCCUGUAAAUGUGCAGCUGUACUAAGAGCACUUUGAGGAUCCGGGGAACUUUCUUUCAAGAGUUAGGCCUGAAAACUCCACAUUAUAGGUAAAAGCCCCAUUGAUGUUAGCUACAUUAGCAUAGCUUUUAAUGAGCUGCAGGGAUGAUAUCCAGCCAUGGGGCAGGUAUGGAGGGGAGGCCACCCACCUGCCCCUUGCCAGGGCUCCUGCAGUUGGGUAGGUCUGGGAGGAAAUCCCCUGCUGUUACUGGCCAGGGCCGGCUCCAGCCACUGAGCAUCAGCUGACUGUUUUACAGGGGCCCAGAGUCUACUACUUCCUCUAACAUCUAACGGCUGUGUUAGUUGGAACAAAAUCACUGUUAGGAAAACUAAACAGCCUGAGUGAAAAAAAGUGACAAAAAAGAUCACACUGAUGUGUACUGAUGCACACAUACACACAAACACACACACACACACACACACACACACACACACACACACACACACACCCAUCAACAGUCUCUCUCACACUCACACACACGCACAGUAAAAAGAGAGUAUAAAGAGUCAGUAAAGAGAGACAGAAAGAGAGAAUGGGACUAUUGGGCUAUUUGUUCAGCGGGUUCUCUGAGGAGGUUGGCCCCAUUGUAAGAGUGAGUAGCAGUACAAGCCUGACUCCUUUCAUACGACUCCUCCUCUGUGCAGAGCCUCUUUUGUCUGGCCAGACUCUGGAAAUCACCCGACAUGCAGGGACCGUCAAAGCCCACAGCGUUACUGCUGGCACGACAGGAGCCAACAAGCAGCAUGAGAGGAGAGGAGAGGAGAGAUGAGAGAAAUGGAUGGAUGGAUGGAUGGAUGGAUGGAUGGAUGGAUUAAUUGAUUUAUUAAUGAAUGACUGAUCUUACAUAGUGCUUUGUAGACACCUGUGUAGAAAACGGUACCUCACAAAAAGACCCUCCACAAGUGGAGGAAAGAGGAGAGAGACAGACAGUGAGGAGAGGAGAGAGAGAGGAGAGAGGGAGAUGGAGAGGAGAGGAGAGAGAGAGGAGAGAGACAGACAGUGAGGAGAGGAGAGAGAGAGGAGAGAGGGAGAUGGAGAGGAGAGAACACAGAGCAGAUGAUGAUAGAGAACAGAGCCAAGCAGAAAGGAGAGGAGAGAGGGAGAUAAAGUGGAGAGAAGUGGGCAUGAGAAGCGCCUUUAAAGCCCCAGAGCAGGAAGCUCCAACAGCUGAAGAGGUUACAGCUUGCUAAAUAAAAGCUCCCAUUGAGCGCUUAUUAAAUCUGAAACAAAAAAAACAUGAGAAAGCGUGAAAAAGGACGAGGGAAAAGAGGAAGAGGGAGAGAUGGAGGAUGGCACAGAAGGCCACGAGGAGGAGGAGGGGGAGGGAGAGGGGAAGGAGGAGGGGGCACAGCAUUUGAAGAACGAAAGGGAGUGGGAACGAUAACGUUGAAAGAUAAAUAGACCAAUACACUACAAAACCAUUUAGAGAAAACAUAACAAAGGAAAAACUGGAAUGGCUUCAUUUCAGGCAAGCACCAGCAAUGAACACUAUUCUCCUCACUGAAAAGGAUUCCAUCUCACAGCAAUGUGGCCAAUGGAUAUUGAGUUUUAUUAGGGUUACUAUGAGUUGCACCCGUCAAAGUACAUUAUGCCCAGAAGGAGGGUUUAAUUCCCUGAGUCAGGGGGAUACAAAUGGUGCACUAACUCAGCAUACCUGUCCAUCUCUCUCCUCCCUCCAUACUAACUAACAUUAGUCCAUCUCUCUCCUCCCUCCAUACUAACUAACAUUAGUCCAUCUCUCUCCUCCCUCCAUACUAACUAACAUUAGUCCAUCUCUCUCCUCCCUCCAUACUAACUAACAUUAGUCCAUCUCUCUUGCCCCUUCAUACUAACUAACAUUAGUCCAUCUCUCUCCUCCCUCCAUACUAACUAACAUUAGUCCAUCUCUCUCCUCCCUCCAUACUAACUAACAUUAGUCCAUCUCUCUUGCCCCUUCAUACUAACUAACAUUAGUCCAUCUCUCUCCUCCCUCCAUACUAACUAACAUUAGUCCAUCUCUCUCCUCCCUCCAUACUAACUAACAUUAGUCCAUCUCUCUCCUCCCUCCAUACUAACUAACAUUAGUCCAUCUCUCUUGCCCCUUCAUACUAACUAACAUUAGUCCAUCUCUUUCAUCCAUACUAACUAACAUUAGUCCAUCUCUCUCCUCGUUCUAUGCUCAGUCUUCUCUCUGUACACUGAGAAAAGGGAAAGGGCCUGUGAGAGAACACUAAUGCCUAAAAAGCAUUAGCGAGUGACUCAAGUCCCUUAUGGGGUGUUUAGAAGAGCGCCAUGCAGGUGUGCAAAGACUGAGAAAGAGAGAGGAAGGGAGAGAGAGAGAGAGGAAUUAAGAAAGAAACAAAAAGAAAGACAGAUUUUGAGUAUGACUCACCGGAACCUUUGCUCUAAAGCAUUUUUCAGCCUCUGAAGUGAUAGGGAGUUUCUGACACUCGCGGAUGACUGCAACCAGUAGCCACAUAGCUUCUCCUUUCUUUGUGUGCCUCUUCAUCAAUACGACGCCAAACACCUGCAUAGAGGGAGAAAGAAAAAGAGAGAAAGAGAGAGGGUGAGCUCCACACCCCUCCAAAGAUGACUGAUGGACCAUCUAAUUGCACACACAGACACACGCAGCACACACACUCCUUUAGGGAGGCCGUUCCAUGGUAGAUAGAUAGAUAGAUAAAAAAGAUAGAUAGAGUACUAUUACUAUACAAGAUAAAAUAAAUAGAAUAAAAAUACUUUAACUUUAAGGCAAGAUAUUGCUAUUAAUGUGCAAAUUAAAUGUAAGAUGUGCACUGAGCACUGCCGGUCAGGAGCCAAGUCCAAGCACAGAGGGUAGUCACUGCAGAUGGCUCCUGCUGUGGGCAGGAAUGACCUCCUGUAAUGGUCCUUAUUGGAGCGGAGCUGAAGGAACCUCUGACUGAAGACACAGUCGUCAGUAGGUUGUGUAGGGGGAGUGUAGUGUUGUCCAGUAGGUUGUGUAGGGGGAGUGUAGUGUUGUCCAGUAGGUUGUGUAGGGGGAGUGUAGUGUUGUCCAGUAGGUUGUGUAGGGGGAGUGUAGUGUUGUCCAGUAGGUUGUGUAGGGGGAGUGUAGUGUUGUCCAGUAGAUUGUGUAGGGGGAGUGUAGUGUUGUAUCUAGGGGGGGGGGGGGGGGGGGGGGUGUAGUGUUGUCCAUUUUCUUGAACAGCUUGUGCAACAUCCUUCUCUCCACAACCAGAUCUAGCGUCUUUAUCAGUUUGUUCAGUUUCUUAGAGUCACUGGCUCUGAUGCUGCUGCCCCAACCGAUGGCUGCAAAGAAAAUUGCACCUCCACUCCUUCCCCCAGGAUAGAAAUAGUGUUCAGCUUAGUCCUGGCCCUCCUGAAAUCCACAACCAUCUUCUUUGUCUUGGUCACAUUUAAGAGGAGGUGGUUGUUCCCACACCAUGCCAACAAGUGGUCCAUCUGUUUCCAGUAUUCAGUGUCCUGUCCACCACUGACACACCUGACAACUGCGGAGCCAUCUGACAAUGUACGCAGAUGACAGAACUCUGAGUUGUCUUUGAAGUCUAUCAAAGACUGAGGUAUACAGGGAGAGAAGGUGAGAGCACAGUCCCCUGCGGUGCUGCGGUGCUGCUGUGCUGCAAACCACCUGCUCAGACACACAUCCCCUUAAGAUGCUCAGACUGUGGUCGGUCCGUCCGUGAUCUGUCAUUGCCAAAUUGGUCCCUCUGUCUUCUGCGCAGUGCUCUGAAAUGACAUGCUUCAAGCCUUUCUCUCUGCUCAAUUUAUCCACUGCACACCGCACUCGAGGCGACCGAAAAAUCCCCAGCGCAUGAAAAUGAUAAGAGGCCAUUAAAUCAAUCACGCCAUCGCACCCCCCCCCCCCCCCCCAC
ensembl:lncRNA